rnacentral:tRNA from 1 species
UUAAAAAUAAGCUAAAUUUAAGCUUUUGGGUUCAUACCUCAAAUAUAAAGAUUCUUCUUUUUUUUAAGGAA